rnacentral:miRNA from 2 species
UAGGAUGGGGGUGAGAGGUG